UAAGCUUACGUUCAAAACAUUCUGGAGGAGCAGAUUGUGUGAAGAAGCCAGCAGAAGUCAAGAGAAAUAAAAAGAAUGGAACAAAAGAAAAAAUGAAAAAGAACAGUGAAAUGACAAAAUUAAAUAAAAUUUUUGCAUUUCU